AUGUUUUCAUCACAGUCCUUGAGCCACGUCAACAACAUCCGUACUGCCCUCAUCAACGCGCAGAAGGGUAACCAGUCGGUUGCCGCCUACUUCGCCUCCAUGCGUGGCCUCGCCGACGAGAUCGCCACGGCCGGCAAGGCAAUCUAGGAUGACGAGCUCAUCUCCUACAUCCUUCACGGGCCGGACAUGGACUAUCAGCCCCUCGUCUCGGCUCUCAACGCCCGCGACACGCCUGUCUCCCUUGACGAGCUCUUCGCCAUGCUAAGCCACUUCGACUACCGUGUCACUCAGUUCUAGAACUCCGCCGGCAGCUUCAAGUCGUCCGCGAACGCAGCCACCCGCGACCGCGAUGGCUACUCGUCUCGUCACCAUGGCCCUCCUCGUCCCAAGGGCAAGCAAGGCGGCUCCAGCAACUCCACCGGCUCCGGCUCCCGCAAUGGCCGCCCCAACUCCGUCAACAAUCGAGGGCACCGUGGUGCUUCUGGCAUCAGAACCUCAUCCUGGCAACUAAGACGGAGACACGACGCAUUCCCCUCCACCGUCAGCAGCCUUCUCACCAAUGUGUCCGCCUCCUAG
rnacentral:rRNA from 1 species